AUUGAACGCUGGCGGCAGGCUUAACACAUGCAAGUCGAGCGGGGGAGGUUGCUUCGGUAACUGACCUAGCGGCGGACGGGUGAGUAAUGCUUAGGAAUCUGCCUAUUAGUGGGGGACAACAUUCCGAAAGGAAUGCUAAUACCGCAUACGUCCUACGGGGGAAAGCAGGGGAUCUUCGGACCUUGCGCUAAUAGAUGAGCCUAAGUCGGAUUAGCUAGUUGGUGGGGUAAAGGCCUACCAAGGCGACGAUCUGUAGCGGGUCUGAGAGGAUGAUCCGCCACACUGGGACUGAGACACGGCCCAGACUCCUACGGGAGGCAGCAGUGGGGAAUAUUGGACAAUGGGCGCAAGCCUGAUCCAGCCAUGCCGCGUGUGUGAAGAAGGCCUUUUGGUUGUAAAGCACUUUAAGCGAGGAGGAGGCUCCUUUAGUUAAUACCUAAAGUGAGUGGACGUUACUCGCAGAAUAAGCACCGGCUAACUCUGUGCCAGCAGCCGCGGUAAAAC
rnacentral:rRNA from 1 species